rnacentral:rRNA from 1 species
AAAGUUUGACCUCCCCUAUGAUAUUUAUAUUUUAAAUGGCCGCGAUAAUUUGAUCGUGCAAAGGUAGCAUAAUAAUUAGUUUUCUAAUUGGGAACUGGAAUGAAAGGUCGAAUGAGAAAAAAGCUGUCUCAAUUUAAAUUAGAUUAGAAUUUUAUCUUUAAGUAAAAAAGCUUAAAUGAUUUUAAAAGACGAGAAGACCCUAUAGAGUUUUAUAUUUAUUGUUUUUUUUUUUAUUUUUAGGAUUUUAGUUUAAAAUUUUAUAAUAAAUAUUUGGUUGGGGUGAUUGGAAAAUUUGAAAAACUUUUUUUGAUUGUUUACCAUUGAUAU